rnacentral:rRNA from 1 species
UAGAGUGGCGAACGGGUGAGUAACACGUGGGCAACCUGCCCCUCACACCGGGAUAACUCAGGGAAACUUGAGCUAAUACCGGAUACUCCGGACUGAUCGCAUGGUCGGUCCGGGAAAGUUCCGGCGGUGAGGGAUGGGCCCGCGCCCCAUUAGCUAGUUGGUGAGGUAAUGGCUCACCAAGGCAACGAUGGGUAGCCGAGCUGAGAGGCUGAUCGGCCACAUUGGGACUGAGACACGGCCCAAACUCCUACGGGAGGCAGCAGUGGGGAAUUUUGCGCAAUGGGCGAAAGCCUGACGCAGCAACGCCGCGUGCGGGACGAAGGCCUUCGGGUUGUAAACCGCUUUCAACAGGGACGAAAUUGACUGUACCUGCAGAAGAAGCCCCGGCUAACUACGUGCCAGCAGCCGCGGUAAUACGUAGGGGGCAAGCGUUAUCCGGAUUUAUUGGGCGUAAAGAG